rnacentral:rRNA from 1 species
GACGAACGCUGGCGGCGUGCUUAACACAUGCAAGUCGAACGGUAAGGCCCCUUCGGGGGUACACGAGUGGCGAACGGGUGAGUAACACGUGAGCAACCUUCCCUUGACUCUGGAAUAACAGUUGGAAACAGCUGCUAAUACUGGAUAUUCAUCGUCUCCUUCCUGGGGGGUGGUGGAAAGCUCCGGCGGUCAGGGAUGGGCUCGCGGCCUAUCAGCUUGUUGGUGAGGUAAUGGCUCACCAAGGCUUCGACGGGUGGCCGGCCUGAGAGGGCGACCGGCCACACUGGGACUGAGAUACGGCCCAGACUCCUACGGGAGGCAGCAGUGGGGAAUAUUGCACAAUGGGCGCAAGCCUGAUGCAGCAACGCCGCGUGCGGGAUGACGGCCUUCGGGUUGUAAACCGCUUUCAGUAGGGACGAAGGGUGACUGACGGUACCUACAGAAGAAGGACCGGCUAACUACGUG